UGCUGUCAUCUCUCCGUCGGCUGGUCCUUCUCUUUGUCUGCUUGAGGCGCGGGAUAACCGUUUGCGCGCCAGCCUACUCCCGCACCGCAGAAGACUCACGCCCUUCAUUUUUCGUUUGCCGUUCCUUCUUGGACGCUCACGAGCACCCCUGAUUUCCGUGAAACAUCGCGCCGUGUCGCUCCGUUUGCGGCGCCAGCACUGCUGCGCUUUGAUUGGUGAGUUGCGAGUCGUUGUCAGGUAGUCGAGCGACACUGGGCAAUGGAGUCCAAGCCGAAUCACCGCAGGGUCUGGGUUACCAGCGCCGUUGUCUUAACUGCUCUCGUCACGCUGAUAGUACGUCGGCGCCAGCAGAAGCGCCAGCUUGCUCGCCGGACGGCAGCAGACGCUAUGCACGAGGAGCUUGCAGAGGCGCUGAAGCAGUCUCUGCUUCCAGUUCUCGUGCGCCCUGAAGACCUACCCGCUGGAUGGGGGGUGGCGCCUCCGGUCUUCUACCCUCCGUACUGCGCCGCCAUUCCGCUAGUGCUGCCGAGGGAGAUGCAGGAGUUGGAGAGAGAUUCUAGUGGCGUGCGUUCAGCAAGCACGUCGCGGUUUCAGGGAGGGGGUGCGGACGGCCUGGCCGUGGCGCCGACCGCGUUUCUCUUUUGCAGCUACACCGGGUACACAGCAGGCCCCUUCGCGACACGGCAAGACGAAGAGGUCUUUCUCACCGAGGUACUGGCGCACCACCCGGUGCUUCGAGAGCGUCUUGCCGAGAAUCCGAGGCAGUGGAGUCCGCUGCCAGAGUCCGCGCCGCACGCGAGCACCGAUGCCAAGACCGCCGCCGCCGUGACCGAGGGAAGGCGGCAGAACAGUUUCCCGCGCACCUUCUCUCACGUGCUCGUCAGUGAUGACUGCGUCCUCCUGGCAGGCAUGAACGGCCCUUACACGGUCGUCGCGGUGCUGACCGAUUUUGCCGGUGCGUGGCCGCUGUCACGGACAGCGAGAGCGUCCGCAGACGGUGAGGAGAGCGGGCGGAGGAGGACUGGCAGUGUCGCGCCGCCCACGAUUGCCGAGGAGACGGAGCUCUCUGACGCCAUAGAGGGCAUUGCAUGCGCUACUAUCAAUGUGCCACUUGCCACCCUUGGAAGCGACUCCGCGGCGCUCGCGUUUCGCGUGCCGGGCACAUGCUUCGCGGCUCACCAAGGCUACUAUCGCGUGGUGUGUGCGCGGGAGGGGCGCGAGCUGGAGCUCUGCGUGCCGCCGGAGUGGACGAUGCGGAGCGAGUGCGUGAACACGUCUUGCACGACUCCCGCCGGGCCCCCGGUCCCAGCUCGCAAGCCCGUCUCCACUGUGGGCGAGGAUGCGGAGUCGAAAGGGAUUAUCUUGACCCUCUCCUUUAUACCGUCCUCCUUUAUGUCGGAAGGCCGCGUGGAUGUGUGUAUCUCUGCGGAACUUUUCUCCGCUCUGUACGAAGAACCGCAGGCGGCUGCGGCGACGCUUUGGGCGGCCUCCGGCGCGACCGACGUCUGCAACCCCGUUGCCAAGGCAACGCUGGGGGCGCUGACAGCGCGACCGCUGCCGGCGUCCUCGCACGCGCGCACAAACGUCGUGACAAUGGUAUACGUGCAGCCCAAGUUCGGUGUUCUCUUCUCAGUACACCCGCGCUCCGCCGUCGUCUAUGAGCCGUGGAUGACAGAGCAGCCCACGAUCCUGUACUACCCGCUUGGCGACGCGGCGGACGACGAGGGGUCGCCGCGGAUGACGAUUGAGUACGUCGUGGAGCUUCCCAAGACCUGGGAGGUCUUUGCCCGCGAUGACGAAGAGUUUGUGCACAACGUCCUCUUCCACUUCACCAGCGGGGAGGCGGCUGCGAUCUCGACGACAUUGACGGAGAUCAGCGGCAUUCGCUGCGCCAUGUUCCACGAGACGCGCGAGAGCCGCCGAUGCCGCACCUACGUGCUGCCGCGCGGGGCGACGUUGCUAGUUAUUCGGUGGGAGACGUUGGCGGAGAGCUGGGACAAGGACCUGCCAGUGUUUCAGCAGACACUCGACACCCUGCACAUAGAUGCUGCAGCCGUGAUACAGUAGGACGAAUAGAAGCAUCUUCCCGCGGCGUGUUUGCCUGAGGACCGCUGGUCCGCCGCUUUCCAAGAUGCGGAAGCGAGACAGCAGGAGGGGGGGGCGAAGAGUGAGGUGCGGCUACCGCUGCUAUCGUUGUGUCCCUACCCCCUUUCCUUUCUUUCAGCACUCUCGGACCACUUGCAUUCAGCGGUGUAUGUUCAACGAGAAUGGCCGUGCCUGAGGGGAACAGUCGAAAAAGAAAAAAAUACCGAAUGGUGCUGAAAGCGAGGCACGAGAUGGCCGUGCCAGAGAAAGGGAUACAGAGAGGGGGGUUAGAGACGAGCGCCGCACGGUUGGAGGAAAGGGGCGUGAGCUAAGGAUGAGGGCCGCAAAUCGGAAUGCGUGUGGUUGGUUUUAUCGUCGAAUGGAUGGCGGCGGGGGAGAGGCUGCGGGUGGAGUUGCCUGGCCCAAUCAAGAGAAACCACGAACGACGCUGUUGAUCGUGCCAUGUUUUUUGUUUUUAUCCAUGUGUAUUUUCGUGUGGCGCGCUGUGUAGGUGCGCUCGUGUGUGUGCCAGAGGGCGAGGGCGCCACCUAUCCUGGAUGUGACCCCCGCGUACAGACAGCCUGAGCGACCCCCUGGGUUUCUCCCCUUCUCUCCCCCUUAUUCCGACUGGCACGUCUUGGUGCCGGCCCUGGCGCUGGUGCGUGCACGUGUGUGCAGGUGUGCCUUGUGCUAGCGAGGAGCCCUUCCGAAAGACUCCUUUUGAACCGCGGAGGACAACUGUAUUUAAAAGCAAAAUGUAUGGGUGACGCAUACACACGGAAGGGGAGCACCUUCCUUCUGAAAAAAGAAGGUCAGUGCUAACGGUUGCUGCUCGCGAGAGACAGCGGCGAGGCGAAGCAAAGGGCGCGGGAAGUCCGCGUUUCUCUUCGCGCUCUACUUACCUUCUCCAGCGCCAUAAUCGUCACCUUUGUGCGCAGAACGACGCCCUCACACACAAACAAAAAGCACAAGGCAGCUGGAAGCAGCAACAAACAAAAAAAAAAACAGAAAGCUUUUAUCCCUGCUCAUGGGCAUCGGCUUGCAAGUGCCCACACGAAAAAGGCGAUGAGUGUGCGCGUGCCCAUAGCACAUCCGCGUUUCUCCUUGAAAAUAUGGAGUGCAAGAACGAUCAAAGUGGACAUGUCUGUGGUGCCGGCUCUGAGGUAGGUGGCAAGGGAACGUAGAACGCACCGCGAGAGAGAAAACUGUGUGGAGAGAGGCGAGCGAAUGCGCGUCUCUCUCUUGGCUCUCCAGCUUCAGAGGAUGGAGGUUCUUCUCUCCGUUUGUGGGGUUGCUGUCGUCCCCCCGCCUCUCGCCGCGUGCGCAAGUACUGUGCUGUAUUACCGCUUCAGGCCCGCUCUCUCUACAUGUUUAUGAAACUCUUGCUCACACUCCCCCUUCCCCACACACAUUUUUUUUUCUCCCGUUUCCGAACCUCUCUGAUCGCGUGACCUUGGUGCCGCGCACUUUAUCGACUCCCUCUUCAUACACGCACAUUACACACACACACACACACGCACACGUGUUACUUGUUCUCACCUGCUGCGCAUCACCCAUUUGCUGCCUCAAAAACGCCCCAACUCCGCCUGUGCAG
rnacentral:misc_RNA from 1 species